GAUGAACGCUGGCGGCGUGCCUAAUACAUGCAAGUCGAGCGAACAGACGAGGAGCUUGCUCCUCUGACGUUAGCGGCGGACGGGUGAGUAACACGUGGAUAACCUACCUAUAAGACUGGGAUAACUUCGGGAAACCGGAGCUAAUACCGGAUAAUAUAUUGAACCGCAUGGUUCAAUAGUGAAAGACGGUUUUGCUGUCACUUAUAGAUGGAUCCGCGCCGCAUUAGCUAGUUGGUAAGGUAACGGCUUACCAAGGCAACGAUGCGUAGCCGACCUGAGAGGGUGAUCGGCCACACUGGAACUGGAACACGGUCCAGACUCCUACGGGAGGCAGCAGUAGGGAAUCUUCCGCAGUGGGCGAAAGCCUGACGGAGCAACGCCGCGUGAGUGAUGAAGGUCUUCGGAUCGUAAAACUCUGUUAUUAGGGAAGAACAAAUGUGUAAGUAACUAUGCACGUCUUGACGGUACCUAAUGAGAAAGCCACGGCUAACUACGUG
rnacentral:rRNA from 1 species